rnacentral:rRNA from 1 species
CGAGUGCCCCAAGCGUUAUCCGGAAUUAUUGGGCGUAAAGGGUCAGUAGGCGGUUUUGUUAGUCUUCUGUCAAAUUCUUCGGCUUAACCGGGGGUCCGCAGGGGAAACAGCAAAAACUUGAGGAUGCGAGAGGUGAGUGGAACUCAUAGUGUAGGGGUGAAAUCCGUUGAUAUUAUGGGGAACACCAAAAGCGAAGGCAAUUCACUGGCGCACUCCUGACGCUGAAUGACGAAAGCGUGGGUAGCGAAUGGGAUUAGAUACCCCAGUAGUCCACGCCCUAAACGAUCUUCUCUAGCUAUUCGGAGUAUCGACCCUCUGAGUGGCGAAGCUAACGCGUUAAGAGAAGCGCCUGGGUAGUACGGCCGCAAGGCUA